GAAGAAGGCCUUCGGGUUGUAAAGCACUUUCAGUCGUGAGGAAGGUAGUGUAGUUAAUAGCUGCAUUAUUUGACGUUAGCGACAGAAGAAGCACCGGCUAACUCCGUGCCAGCAGCCGCGGUAAUACGGAGGGUGCGAGCGUUAAUCGGAAUUACUGGGCGUAAAGCGCAUGCAGGUGGUUUGUUAAGUCAGAUGUGAAAGCCCGGGGCUCAACCUCGGAAUUGCAUUUGAAACUGGCAGACUAGAGUACUGUAGAGGGGGGUAGAAUUUCAGGUGUAGCGGUGAAAUGCGUAGAGAUCUGAAGGAAUACCGG
rnacentral:rRNA from 1 species